rnacentral:misc_RNA from 1 species
AACGCAUCUUGCGCUCCUUGGUAUUCCGAGGAGCAUGCCUGUUUGAGUGUCGUGUAACUGCUCUCAAUUUCAGUUUGAAGUUGAGGAUGUGGUUGUUGUCGUGAUCUCAUACGACUCAUCCUAAAUGCAUUGAGUGGGUCUUGACUUUAUCGAUUCACACACAAUGUGAUAAGGCAUUGGGAAAGCAUUGUUUAGAAUCGAGUCAGAACCUGUUUCUAAUGGUCGAAAGACACGCAUAUAUAUGUCGUUUGACCUCAAAUCAGGCAGGACUACCCGCUGAACUUAA